rnacentral:rRNA from 1 species
GACGAACGCUGGCGGCGUGCUUAACACAUGCAAGUCGAACGGAAAGGCCCUGCUUUUGUGGGGUGCUCGAGUGGCGAACGGGUGAGUAACACGUGAGUAACCUGCCCUUGACUUUGGGAUAACUUCAGGAAACUGGGGCUAAUACCGGAUAGGAGCUCCUGCUGCAUGGUUGGGGUUGGAAAGUUUCGGCGGUUGGGGAUGGACUCGCGGCUUGUCAGCUUGUUGGUGGGGUAGUGGCUUACCAAGGCUUUGAAGGGUAGCCGGCCUGAGAGGGUGACCGGCCACAUGGGGACUGAGAUACGGCCCAGACUCAUACGGGAGGCAGCAGUGGGGAAUAUUGAACAAUGGGCGGAAGCCUGAUGCAGCAACGCCGCGUGCGGGAUGACGGCCUUCGGGUGGUAAACCGCUUUCGCCUGUGACGAAGCGUGAGUGACGGUAAUGGGUAAAGAAGCACCGGCUAACUACGU